rnacentral:rRNA from 1 species
AUUGAACGCUGGCGGCAGGCUUAACACAUGCAAGUCGAGCGGGGGAGGUUGCUUCGGUAACUGACCUAGCGGCGGACGGGUGAGUAAUGCUUAGGAAUCUGCCUAUUAGUGGGGGACAACAUUCCGAAAGGGAUGCUAAUACCGCAUACGCCCUACGGGGGAAAGCAGGGGAUCUUCGGACCUUGCGCUAAUAGAUGAGCCUAAGUCGGAUUAGCUAGUUGGUGGGGUAAAGGCCUACCAAGGCGACGAUCUGUAGCGGGUCUGAGAGGAUGAUCGGACACACUGGGACUGAGACACGGCCCAGACUCCUACGGGAGGCAGCAGUGGGGAAUAUUGGACAAGGGGCGGAAGCCUGAUCCAGCCAUGCCGCGUGUGUGAAGAAGGCCUUUUGGUUGUAAAGCACUUUAAGCGAGGAGGAGGCUACUAGUACUAAUACUACUGGAUAGUGGACGUUACUCGCAGAAUAAGCACCGGCUAACUCUGUGCCAGCAGCCGCCGUAACAC